CAGGUGCUGUCCCUGCCCUAGGUGUGCCAAGGAACAGAGGCAAGCGGGUAUCUUCGGGCCAGCCUCUGGAGUCAAAUCAAGAUUUGAGGUACCGUGAGGAGGCUUGUAGGCGAAGUUUGGAAACGGCUGCACCGAAGCACACGUCUUGAUGUCCACAUCCAACCGACGAUGGAUUUUGUUCGCUCAUCUUCCAAAAGCUAAGUGUCUAAGUGUUGGGGCGAGUAGUUGGGAGAAGGGGAAAAACCUUUGCUAUCACAGGAGGCAGUUUAAUGUUAGCUUAGCGGAGAGGUCUGUAGGGGGAUGGAGCUCUUUGGAAGUAAAGGGAUAGGGCUUGUCCUCAGCCUCAGCAGCGCCUUUGCCGGGCAGGGUAGUUCCGAUCCAUCUCUGCAUUCUCUUUGAACGUUUCUCUGUGAACUUUGCGUCGUCAGCCUUCUUCGACUCUCAGCGUCGUCGUGGAUCUUUCCCCCGAGGAGCUCACCUUCAGGCUCGGAGCUAUAGCCACGGUCACCCGGCAGUCUUCGCUUCCUUCUCUAGGCGUACUGAGCCUUUUGAGCAUCCUCCUAACUGCUCUGACACUAACUUCUUUUAAGGAGUUGCGUUUCAUCAUCACGUGCUGUCCUAGGGCUUUCUUUCCUUUGGCAUCAUCGGCCUGUGGCUCAUCUUGCGCUAGGAAUCUUGGGUCCAUAAGGUGAAACUGCCAGGCGGUUUCCACUCGUGUCUGUGUUAUGUUGUCCGUGUCUGUGUUAUGUUGUCCAUGUCUGUGUUAUGUUGUCCGUGUCCAUUGUCUUCUGUGCUGUAGGCCUUUGUUACAUCUCGAUGCUUUAUCGGCAUCAUUCUGCAUCAUAUCGGCCGCAUUUUACUCACGUUCCUCCCCGGAUAUCGCUUAUUCCGGCAUCUUUACAUUUUUACUCUCUGAGCCAGGAAGAAGUACACAAGAUAUUUUCAUUCAUCUUCCUUCUCAACUUUGGUAGUGCCUUUUUUUCCCGUGCCAUUCUCUUGGACUUCCAUAGGGAGUGUAUUACACCCUCAUGUGACUACUAGUUCUCUAGGUUCCAUCUUCUCAAAGGGUAGACGGCUCAAGAAUUAAUCUUCCAGAGAGUUAUCUCAAAUCACUUAUAUUGUACCGAUGGUGGCUUAUACUGUGUGCGCUUAUAUUAUAUGCAAUUAUGCUGGUUUACAUUGUUUGUACUUAUCCUCUAUGUACCUGUGUUGGCUUAUAUUGUAUGCAAUUAUGCUGGCUCAUAUUGUAUGUACUUAUACUGUAUGUAAUGAUGCUGGUUUACAUUGUGUG